rnacentral:lncRNA from 1 species
GUGCUAAAGGCCUCUCAGUACCAGAGGAAGAGGCACCUCUAACAAUGAGUGUGGUCUCCCAGCUACUUGAACAACAAAAGGAGUUUUACAAAGAAAUGUUACAGCAGCAACAGGAAAACUUUAAAUGUUGUGUGCAAAUAAUGAUUGAGAGUGGAAACAAAAGAAUGGAUGAUGUAAUCAGAGAUCUGCAGGGGGUAAAAUCCAGUUUGGAAUUUACCCAUGCAGGUGUGGACGAGAUGCCCAAAGAGCACAAAACAACAGUAGCAAAAAUAAAACAACUUGACAUUGCCAUCAAGAAAGUAGAGGGGGACCUGGCUAGGAUUCCUUCACUAGACUGUUUUGAGAAACUGGAUUACAUUGAGAACCAGACCAGGAGAAACAAUAUCCUGGUGGACGGAAUCCCAGAUGAAAAGGGUGAAAACUGGGAUGAGUCAGAAAGGAAAGUCAGAGCUGUGCUUCAGAGGAACAUGGGCUUGGACACCAAAAACACUGAAACUGAGCGUGCCCACAGAGUUGGUACAUACAAAGAGGCUAAAAGGCCCAGACCAAUGAUUGUCAAACUUUUGAGGUUCAAAGACAAGCAGACCAUUAAAUCAUGUGCAAACAAGCUUAAAGGCUCAAACGUCUACAUUAAUGAGGACUUUUCAGACGUUGUCCAGAAAAAGAGGAGAGAUCUCCUCCCAGAGCUAAAGGCUGCCCAUGAGAGAGGUGACAUAGCCACCCUAAGGUUUGACAAGCUGAUCACAAAGCCCAAAGGCGGAAGUGCAGGUUCAACAUGAGGCUGAGUUUGAUUUAUGUGUUGUUUUUGUUUUGUCAAGAUUAAAGCCUUACUAGUUCUGAAUUCAAAACAAUGGAUGAAGCUGUUUUAGUCCUAGACCCUGAACCCAUGGACUCUAACUCAGCUGACUGCAACAUCGCCUUGGAAGAUCAGACUUUCAAGCCCUUUGUUGGUCCUAAGUUUGAUGCCUACAAUGGUGAUGUUGACCCAGAUCAAAACUGUUUUUACACAUUUGACAUUUGUAACCUCUGUAAUUAUUAUGUUGAAUCUCAGUUCAAUGAGUUAUGUUCUAUGGCUGUAUCCUGC